rnacentral:rRNA from 1 species
CGUAUAUUAAAGUUGUUGCAGUUAAAAAGCUCGUAGUUGGAUUUCUGGUACAACGCGCCUGGCCCGCUUUUAGUGAGUGCCGGUGCGCGUUUGCCAUCCUUCUAGAAAACGUUUCUACCUGGGCAACCGGGCCGGACUCGCGAUCUAGAUCUUCUACUUUGAAAAAAUUAGAGUGUUUAAAGCAGGCUUUUGCUGUGAAUACAUUAGCAUGGAAUAAUAAUCUAGGACUUCGGUUCUAUUUUGUUGGUUUCUAGUACUGAAGUAAUGAUUGAUAGGGAUAGUUGGGGGUGCUAGUAUUGGCCGGCCAGAGGUGAAAUUCUUGGAUUCGGUCAAGACUAACUUAUGCGAAAGCAUUCACCAAGGAUGUCUUCUUUAAUCAAGAACGAAAGUUGGGGGAUCGAAGACGAUCAGAUACCGUCGUAGUCUCAACCAUAAACUAUGCCAACUAGGGAUGGGUGAACGUUGUUUUUUUGACUUCAUCUGCACCUUAUGAGAAAUCAUAGUCUUUGGGUUCCGGGGGGAGUAUGGUCGCAAGGCUGAAACUUAA